rnacentral:rRNA from 1 species
CCUACGGGUGGCUGCAGUGGGGAAUCUUGGACAAUGGGGGCAACCCUGAUCCAGCAAUGCCGCGUGUGUGAAGAAGGCCUUCGGGUUGUAAAGCACUUUCAGCGGGGAGGAAGGCGGUGAGGUUAAUAACCUCAUCGAUUGACGUUACCCGCAGAAGAAGCACCGGCUAACUCCGUGCCAGCAGCCGCGGUAAUACGGAGGGUGCAAGCGUUAAUCGGAAUUACUGGGCGUAAAGCGCACGCAGGCGGUCUGUCAAGUCGGAUGUGAAAUCCCCGGGCUCAACCUGGGAACUGCAUUCGAAACUGGCAGGCUAGAGUCUUGUAGAGGGGGGUAGAAUUCCAGGUGUAGCGGUGAAAUGCGUAGAGAUCUGGAGGAAUACCGGUGGCGAAGGCGGCCCCCUGGACAAAGACUGACGCUCAGGUGCGAAAGCGUGGGGAGCAAACAGGAUUAGAUACCCCUGUAGUC